GGUGAGGUGGCCGAGAGGCUUAAGGCGCUCCCCUGCUAAGGGAGUAUGUAGCUCUAUAAAAGCUGCUCGAGGGUUCGAAUCCCUCCCUCACCG
rnacentral:tRNA from 1 species